GACGAACGCUGGCGGCGUGCUUAACACAUGCAAGUCGAACGGAAAGGCCCUGCUUUUGUGGGGUGCUCGAGUGGCGAACGGGUGAGUAACACGUGAGUAACCUGCCCUUGACUUUGGGAUAACUUCAGGAAACUGGGGCUAAUACCGGAUAGGAGCUCCUGCUGCAUGUUGGGGGUUGGAAAGUUUCGGCGGUUGGGGAUGGACUCGCGGCUUAUCAGCUUGUUGGUGGGGUAGUGGCUUACCAAGGCUUUGACGGGUAGCCGGCCUGAGAGGGUGACCGGCCACAUUGGGACUGAGAUACGGCCCAGACUCCUACGGGAGGCAGCAGGGGGGAAUAUUGCACAAUGGGCGGAAGCCUGAUGCAGCAACGCCGCGUGCGGGAUGACGGCCUUCGGGUUGUAAACCGCUUUCGCCUGUGACGAAGCGUGAGUGACGGUAAUGGGUAAGGAAGCACCGGCUAACUACGUG
rnacentral:rRNA from 1 species